GCCUGGGUGGCUCAGUCGGUAAAGCCUCUGACUUCGGCUCAGGUCAUGAUCUCCCGGCUCGCGGGUUUGAGCCCCGCGUUGGGCU
rnacentral:tRNA from 1 species